rnacentral:misc_RNA from 1 species
GGUUGCUGUGUCUUAUAUGCAAGCAUGGCGAGGUAAGGAGCGCAGCAUGGCUGCUCUACAUGGAACCUUUGAAGAAGGUUAUCAGCUUCUUCCUGCAUAUUGUGAACAGAUAAGGAAGACUAAUCCAGGGAGCAUUGCAUCAAUUGCCACUGGACAGGAGAAUUGUUUCCAGCGACUGUUUAUCUCAUAUCGUGCAGCAAUUUAUGGAUUUUUAAAUGCUUGCCGGCCACUUUUGGAACUUGAUAGAGUUCAUUUAAAAGGGAAGUACCUGGGUUUGUUAUUCUGUGCUGCAGCUGUUGAUGCUAAUGAUACAUUGUUUCCUUUGGCAAUAGCUGUUGUCGAUGUGGAAAGUGAUGAGAACUGGAUGUGGUUUAUGUCGGAGCUACGCAAACU